CCUUAGUAACGGCGAGUGAAGCGGCAACAGCUCAAAUUUGAAAGCUGGCUCCUUUGGAGUCCGCGUUGUAAUUUGUAGAGGAUGAUUCGGCAAGGGCUCCCGCCUAAGUCUCCUGGAACGGAGCGUCAUAGAGGGUGAGAAUCCCGUAUGCGGUGGGCUGCCUAAGCCAUGUGAAUCUCCUUCGACGAGUCGAGUUGUUUGGGAAUGCAGCUCUAAAUGGGAGGUAAAUUUCUUCUAAAGCUAAAUACCGGCCAGAGACCGAUAGCGCACAAGUAGAGUGAUCGAAAGAUGAAAAGCACUUUGGAAAGAGAGUUAAAAAGUACGUGAAAUUGUUGAAAGGGAAGCGCUUGCAGCCAGACUUGUCCGCAGUUGCUCAGCCGGUCUCCUGACCGGUGUACUCUUCUGCGGCCAGGCCAGCAUCAGUUCGGGCGGUCGGAUAAAGACCUCGGGAAUGUAGCUCCUCUCGGGGAGUGUUAUAGCCCGGGGUGGAAUGCGGCCAGCCUGGACUGAGGAUCUCGCUUCGGCUAGGAUGCUGGCGUAAUGGCUGUAAGCGGCCCGUCUUGAAACACGGACCAAGGAGUCUAACAUCUAUGCGAGUGUUUGGGUGUCAAACCCAUGCGCGUAAUGAAAGUGAACGGAGGUGGGAACCCUCACGGGUGCACCAUCGACCGAUCCUGAUGUCUUCGGAUGGAUUUGAGUAAGAGCAUAGCUGUUGGGACCCGAAAGAUGGUGAACUAUGCCUGAAUAGGGUGAAGCCAGAGGAAACUCUGGUGGAGGCUCGCAGCGGUUCUGACGUGCAAAUCGAUCGUCAAAUUUGGGUAUAGGGGCGAAAGACUAAUCGAACC
rnacentral:rRNA from 1 species